GCAUAUAGUUCUUGAGUCGUACGUAGAGGAGGAGCUCGGGUGGUGUGGAGUUUCGUCGACGUUGCGCAGCGGUGCCGUUCGAGCGUGUGUUCGUCGUCGUAGCAUCGCGAGGGGGGCCGGGUGAGGGUCCGAUUUCGCUGUUUUUGUUGUCGCGCCGGAUUGUGAUUAGCGUUUGAGGUGGGUUACAUCGGCUUUACUCCUAAGUUCUUAUUGGCCGACAUGUAUAGAUCUUGAUUUCGGUAAUUAAUUUAGCUCAAAUUCAUGGACUAUAUGUAGAUUGCGAAAUCUGAAUUUUGGAGCAUAUUUUAUAAAUUAAGUAGAUCAUACAUGUUGUACUUGAAAAUUGAAUUAGGAGAAAACCUGCGAUUUGGACCUGUCACCAGUUUUAACUACCUGAUUUAGCUCUAGGAGCCGUUAGAAAAUUGUAUUGUCGCAGUUUCUUCGAGACGAGUACUCCAGGUAGUUUAGAAUGUAUUUACACUCGUGCUGGUUCGCCGAGUGGAUUUUUACAGGGUCAUUCAGGUUGUUUCGGACUUUUGGGUGCCGUCAGAGUUGACGGUGGACCCGUAUCGCCUUUUUGGGCGUCAGAUUGUGCCGAGGGCACGUUACCUAUUGGUUGUUAGACCAGUUUGAGUCGAUUACUUGACGUUGGCUAGUUGGAGCCUGUUUGAGCUCGACAGAGAUACGCUGCAUACUCGGUUGGGUCAGUGCUAUAGAGAGGUUAUUCGAGGAUCUGUACGUUCCAGAGGGGGAGCAGGUACCUUUGGGAGUACACUGUUUGUCAGGUGAUGCACGUGACUGGUGGCGGAGAGUAAGGUGAGACCAGAGACUGGAGGCAGCGCAGCUGAGGUGGGACGAGUUCUGUGGAAUGCUGUAUGGGAUGUAUUUUCCCAACAGCAUGAAGCAGAAGGUUGAGGAGGAUUUGAAGAGGAUCCAACAGGGCGAGCGGACAGUUCAGGAGUAUGUUCGGGAGUUUACUAGACUCCUGAACUGUGUUCCGUUCGUGGCCAGAGACGAGGCACAUAGGGUCUACUUGUUCGAGCAGGGUUUGAGACCCGAUCUGUUCAGGUUCGUUAGGGCGCAGAGGUCGAUGACUUUGGACACGUCCAUUGAGCAGGCACUAUGGGAGGAGAGAGGAGAGGUGUCACUGCGAGAGAGGGCUCAGGGGCCGGGACAGACUCAGGACAGGAAGCGUCCAGCUCCAGACGACGGAGGCCAGUCGAGUAGCAGGCGUCCACCGAGACCUCCACGAUCGCGUUCUCAGGGUCGUGGGUUCUCGGGACGUCAGCGAUCCAGAGACUCCCGUUAGAGAGGACAGCCUGAGAGGGCGCCGCAGUGUGUGAUCUGUGGAGGACCACACUGGCCCAGACAGUGUGAGCAGAGGGAGGGCCGGUGCUACGGAUGUGGUCAGCUGGGACACAUGAGGGCAGCUUGUCCCAGAGCAGCAUCUCCAGCACCAUCAUCUGCUUCAGCUCCACCAGCACCUCAGCAGACUUACAGAGCAGCACCGAGUUACCGCCAGGAGGAUAGGUCGUCCAUGCCGCGACAGGGUGAGCGUCGACAGCAGGCUCCGAGUGGUAGAGUCUAUGCAGCUCAGGUGGAGGACUCUACAGCAGCCGACCGAGUGGUGGCAGGUAUCACUUUGAUUUCUGGCAUUAGAGUUCGCACUCUUUUUGAUACUGGUGCAUCACAUUCCUUUGUUAGCCGAGCAUUUGCAUUGUUGCAUGGUCUAGAGUUAGGGGCAUUGUCACAGGCACGAGAGGUGCAGAUCCCGGACCAUAUUUUACAGGUUGCGGAGUGUUGUUGGUCGUGUCCGGUGCAGUUGGACUCGUGGGUCAUGCCCGCAGACCUGUUGGUGUUAGGGCAGCUGCAGGACUUCGACGUCGUGCUCGGUAAGGAUUGGCUUGCACGGUACUAUGCUACGAUCGACUGUGGAGCGAGGACGGUGACGUUCCGCGAGCCAGGUCAGGAGGAGUUUACUUUCAGAGGCUGCAGGAGUACGCUAUUUGCCACCUGGAUAUCUUCGGCGAGGGCUCGACAGAUGCUGAGUAGCGGGUGUAUCGCUUUCCUAGCGACUGUUGUGGAGGUACCUACGGCGGCGCCGGGACUUGAGGACAUCCCAGUAGUCCGCGAGUUUCCGGACGUAUUUCUCCCUGAGUUGACAACGUUGCCGCCGGAAAGGGAGAUUGAGUUUGUGAUUGAUGUAGUUCCUGGAACUGCACCAAUCUCAAAGGUACCUUAUCGGAUGGCGCCGGCAGAGCUGAGAGAGCUAAAGGCACAGCUUCAGGAUUUGAUAGAUAAAGGGUUUGUGAGACCCAGUGUGUCGCCUUGGGGAGCGCCAGUGCUAUUUGUAAAGAAGAAAGAUGGUUCGCUCAGGUUAUGUGUAGAUUACCGGGAGCUGAAUAAAGUGACCAUCAAAAAUAAGUAUCCCUUGCCGCGCAUUGAUGAUUUGUUUGAUCAGCUGCAGGGAUCUUAUGUCUUCUCGAAGAUUGAUCUCCAGUCAGGUUACCACCAGCUGAGGGUGAGGGCCGAGGAUGUUCCCAAGACCGCUUUUCGGACUCGGUACGGGCAUUAUGAAUUUACAGUGAUGCCUUUUGGAUUGACAAAUGCCCCUGCCGCAUUCAUGGAUUUGAUGAACAGAGUGUUCAAGCCGUUCUUGGAUAGAUUUGUGGUAGUCUUCAUCGACGACAUCCUGAUAUACUCCCGGAGUGAUGCUGAGCAUGAGGAGCACUUGAGGAUUGUGCUACAGCUUCUGCGAGAGAAGAAGCUGUAUGCCAAGUUGAAGAAGUGCGAGUUCUGGCUACGGGAGGUUGCUUUCUUGGGCCACGUGAUUUCAGCCGAGGGCGUAGCAGUGGACCCGAAGAAGAUUGAGGCGAUUCGAGAUUGGCCUAGACCGACGACGGUGAUUGAGGUACGGAGCUUCCUGGGACUGGCAGGAUAUUACCGUCGGUUUGUGGAAGGCUUUGCGAAGCUUUCCACACUCCUCACACGCUUGACGCGGAAGGAGAUUCGUUUUGUUUGGAGCGAUGACUGUCAGAGGAGCUUUGACGAGUUGAGACUGAGGUUGACAUCAGCUCCUAUCCUUGCCCUUCCGGUGAUGGGGGAUAGAUUUGUGAUCUACAGUGAUGCAUCGCACAGUGGACUUGGUUGCGUGCUGAUGCAGCAUGGUAGGGUGAUUGCUUAUGCUUCACGGCAAUUAAAGGAUUUUGAGAAGAAUUACCCUACGCAUGACUUGGAGCUUGCCGCGGUGGUUUCUGCUUUGAAGCUCUGGCGGCAUUACUUGUACGGCGAGCACUGCGAGGUCUUCACCGAUCAUCAAAGUCUCAAGUAUCUGUUCACACAAAGGGAGCUGAAUCUGAGGCAGCGCCGGUGGUUAGAGUUACUGAAGGACUAUGACAUUAGUAUUCAGUAUCAUCCCGGCAGGGCGAAUGUUGUGGCAGAUGCGUUGAGCAGGAAGUCAAUGCAGAGCCUGAGUUUGAUGAUUACUGAGCAGAGACCCCUCCUCGAGGAGCUUCAGCGGCUGGGACUCGAGAUAGUACCCCCUGGGUCUACGGCGAGGCUGACGUCUCUAGUUUUACAGCCGACUCUGUUAGAUAGGAUCCGAGAGAAACAGAGUGGAGAUCCGUACUUGUUGAGGAUUAGAGAGCAGCUAGACAGGGGGCAGGCUGAGGGUUUUGCUUUGGACAGUUCGGGAGUACUACGGUACAGGGACCGACUGUGUGUGCCUAUGGAUUCUGAGAUCCGAUCAGACAUUCUGAGAGAGGCUCAUUGUUCUCCUUAUACGGUUCACCCAGAUGGAACCAAGAUGUAUAAGGACUUAAAGGCACGGUUUUGGUGGAAUGGUAUGAAGAGGGACAUUGGCAGAUUUGUGGCUCAGUGUCUGACUUGUCAACAGGUAUAGGCAGAGCAUCAGGUACCUGCUGGCAAGCUUCAGAGUCUGCCAGUGCCCGAGUGGAAGUGGGAGUACAUCACGGUGGAUUUCGUCGUUGGUUUGCCUAGAGCGCAGGGUGGCUUUGACGCGAUUUGGGUUAUAGUGGACAGACUGACCAAGUCUGCUCACUUCCUAGUAGUUCAGACUACCUGGUCCAGAGAGAGACUCGCUCAGUUAUACCUGGACGAGAUUGUUAGGUUGCACGGUGUGCCAAUGUCGAUUGUGUCAGACAGAGAUCCGAGGUUUGUAUCCCAGUUUUGGAGGAGCCUUCAGACCGCCUUGGGCACUCAGCUGCAUUUUAGCACGGCGUUCCACCCACAGACAGAUGGUCAGUCAGAGCGGACCAUACAGACUUUAGAGGACAUGCUGAGGGCAUGCGUCCUGGAUUUUGGAGGAGGGUGGUAUCGACAUGUGAGACUGGUUGAGUUUGCGUACAACAACAGCUAUCAAACGAGCAUUCAGAUGGCUCCGUUUGAGGCGUUGUAUGGACGCAGAUGUUGAUCCCCCCUGUUUUGGAGCGAUGUGGGUGAGCGGAGGACACUUGGACCGGAGAUCUUACUUGAGGCUGAGGAAAAGGUGAGAGUCGUUCGACGACACCUUUUGACAGCUCAGAGCCGCCAGAGGAGCUACGCCGAUACCAGGAGACGAGACUUAGAGUUUCAGGUUGGAGAUCAUGUUUUCCUCAAAGUCUCGCCGUCCAGAGGUAUUCGCCGAUUUGGAGUGCGUGGAAAGCUCAGUCCACGUUUCGUUGGCCCUUUCGAGGUAUUGGAGCGAGUUGGACCAGUUGCAUACCGGAUUGCUCUACCACCCCGACUAGCUGGGGUUCAUGAUGUGUUCCACGUCUCGGCUCUGAGGAGAUAUGUUUUCGAUCCUUCUCACGUGAUUCACUUCACUCCACUAGAGAUUGGCGAGGAUUUGAGAUACGAGGAGCGACCGGUGCGGAUUCUUGCUCGCGAGACGAAGGAAUUGCGCAACCGGGUCAUCCCGUAUGUGAAAGUGCAGUGGAGCAAUCAUGAGGAGCGGGAGGCGACUUGGGAGCCUGAGACAGUGAUGAGGGAGUCCUACCCCGACUUGUUCGUUGUCCCGUCUUAAGGUAUGUUUUAAGUUUCGAGGACGAAACUUUUUAUAGUGGGGGAGGAUGUAGUAUCCUUAUUUCUUUAUCUUUUCUUUUCCUUUUUCUUUUUAUUUCUUUUGAGUUGGUAAGCUAGCUGGGGAUAAGGAUGCCACGUGCACCUUACCCCCAAGCAUGCUUAUCACCUUAUUACUUGUGCAUAGUUUAUAUAUAGUUCUUGAGCCUCUACGCAUAUAGUUCUUGAGUCGUACGUAGAGGAGGAGCUCGGGUGGUGUGGAGUUUCGUCGACGUCGCGCAGCGGUGCCGUUCGAGCGUGUGUUCGUCGUCGUAGAAUCGCGAGGGGGGCUGGGCGAGGGUCCGAUUCCGCCGUUUUUGUUGUCGCGCCGGAUUGUGAUUAACGUUUGAGGUAGGUUACAUCGGCUUUACUCCUAAGUUCUUAUUGGCCGACAUGUAUAGAUCUUGAUUUCGGUAAUUAAUUUAGCUCAAAUUCAUGGACUAUAUGUAGAUUGCGAAAUCUGAAUUUUAGAGCAUAUUUUAUAAAUUAAGUAGAUCAUACAUGUUGGACUUGGAAAUUGAAUUAGGAGAAAACCUACGAUUUGGACCUGUCACCAGUUUUAACUACCUGAUUUAGCUCUAGGAGCCGUUAGAAAAUUGUACUGUCGCAGUUUCUUCGAGACGAGUACUCCAGGUAGUUUAGAAUGUAUUUACACUCGUGCUGGUUCGCCGAGUGGAUUUUUACAGGGUCGUUCAGGUUGUUUCGGACU
rnacentral:lncRNA from 1 species